AUACGCCUUCGGGGGAAUGAAGGNCAGCCCGCGUCNGAUUAGGUAGUUGGUGAGGUAAUGGCUCACCAAGCCUACGAUCNAUAGCUGGUUUUAGAGGAUGAUCAGCCACACUGGGNCUGAGACACGGCCCAGACUCCUACGGGAGGCAGCAGUGAGGAAUCUUAGACAAUGGGCGCAAGCCUGAUCUAGCCAUGCCGCGUGUGUGAUGAAGGCCUUAGGGUCGUAAAGCACUUUCGCCAGAGAUGAUAAUGACAGUAUCUGGUAAAGAAACCCCGGC
rnacentral:rRNA from 1 species